rnacentral:lncRNA from 1 species
GAGAGAAGCCUCCUGGGGUGGAGGGAGGUGGGCUGGCAAAGACUUGUGGCCCCUCAUGAUGGAUCAGGAGGGUAGUCAUAGGACAGAGGGAGCUGGCAACCACUUGGUUGCAACCAGGUUGGGAAGUGAGACUGGAAGACUUUUGACUGGAGUGGUUUCCCAGGAUUGGAGGUCUGGACUCUCAUAUGCUUCUGGGGUAACACAGAGCCAGAAGGAGUCUGGAUUUUUCCUUGAAUGACCUGAAGUCAGCACCGCUCCAGUCCUAAACUAAGGACUGAGUUCCAACUGACUGAAAACCAAAUUAAAAGAGGAGCCUUGCUCCCUUCCUUGUGCUCAGCGUUGAGACCCUGCCACCGCCUCAGCGGUCGUCCCUGCCCUGUCCGCCCCGGGCUGCACCCUGCAAGGC